rnacentral:rRNA from 1 species
CAGGUCUUGACAUCCUCUGACAACCCUAGAGAUAGGGCGCUCCCCUUCGGGGGACAGAGUGACAGGUGGUGCAUGGUUGUCGUCAGCUCGUGUCGUGAGAUGUUGGGUUAAGUCCCGCAACGAGCGCAACCCUUGAUCUUAGUUGCCAGCAUUCAGUUGGGCACUCUAAGGUGACUGCCGGUGACAAACCGGAGGAAGGUGGGGAUGACGUCAAAUCAUCAUGCCCCUUAUGACCUGGGCUACACACGUGCUACAAUGGAUGGAACAAAGGGUCGCGAAGCCGCGAGGUGAAGCCAAUCCCAUAAAUCCAUUCUCAGUUCGGAUUGCAGGCUGCAACUCGCCUGCAUGAAGCCGGAAUCGCUAGUAAUCGCGGACCAGCAUGCCGCGGUGAAUACGUUCCC